rnacentral:rRNA from 1 species
CCCUUAGAUGUUCUGGGCCGCACGCGCGCUACACUGAUGCAUUCAACGAGUCUAAAACCUGCUCUGAUAGGGGUGGGUAAUCUUUUGAAUGUGCAUCGUGAUUGGGAUAGAUGAUUGCAAUUUUUCAUCUUCAACGAGGAAUGCCUAGUAAACGCAAGUCAUCAGCUUGCAUUGAUUACGUCCCUGCCCUUUGUACACACCGCCCGUCGCUCCUACCGAUUGAAUGCUCAGGUGAGCCAUUCGGACUUUCAUCAUGCUGGUUUCCAGUUUUGAUGAAGGAAAGUCUUGCGAACCUUAUCAUUUAGAGGAAGGAGAAGUCGUAACA